GUCCACGCCGUAAACCGAUGUCAACUAGCUGUCUGUGGACUUGAUCCGUGGGUAGCGGAGCUAACGCAUUAAGUUGACCGCCUGGGGAGUACGGCCGCAAGGUUAAAACCUCAAAUGAAUUGACGGGGGCCCGCACAAGCGGUGGAGCAUGUGGUUUAAUUCGAUGCAACGCGAAGAACCUUACCAUCCCUUGACAUCCACAGAAUUCGCUAGAGAUAGCUUAGUGCC
rnacentral:rRNA from 1 species